rnacentral:lncRNA from 1 species
GUGCUGUUAUGUCUUAUUCCUUUUUGUUUUAACUAAUGAAGAUAGAGCCCUCAUUAGAAUGGAUUAGUAAGCUUGCAUUCACGGUCUGUUCAUGUAAGAGAUAAUUCAGCCCUGGUUCUUUAACAGACGGAGCUGUACUAGGGUGCUGCUAUUUACAUUUAUGAACGAAGGUUCAUGAACAAUGGUAUUUCUCUUGUUCUUUUCAAACAGCUCCCUAGUGAUGCGAUGGUGACACAUUACAAUCUGAAAGGAUACUCUUUGAGUUUGGAGAAUAGUUACCAAGCUAAUGUUAACAGCACGGCUCAGCAUCACAGCAGGUUAGCCUGGGCAUGACUUCAGGAUGGCAGAGGCACAAGAAAGCAAGCAGGAAGAUACAAGUGACCUCCCAAACUUUUUCGGGUGUUGAGACGAACAACGGUCAAUAUCCAAAGCAAGUUUCAAGUCUAAAUCUGGAGGCACAGUGAGAAUGAACAACAAAAUUAUGAGCCGUUAAUUCACUCAGUAUAGGACAUCCGAAAGCCAGAAAAUGUGCUUGUAUAAAUUUGAACAUUUGCUUUAAUGAAUUUAUAAAAAUUAAUUAAAAAUACUCAAAAAAUGUUUUAAGGUCACAAGCAAAAAGCAUCUUUUCAUAAAAUGAUGAUAAAAUAUAGAAUUCUACGCAGAUUGCUUUUACACAUAUGUGGUAAAAUAAUUUUGUUUCCAUUUCAAUUUAACAAAAUAUGACCCCCAUAUUGAAUCUAAUGACAAAUUUUUACAUUUAAAAAUGCCUUAAAAUGUUCAUUAAUAUCAUAAUACAUCAUGUGGAUAUUGAGGAUAUUAACAAACCUGAAAAUGAAAUAAGACUUCUCCUCUGUCUGUUUCAAAACAAACUAAAUUUAAUAUAAUAUUACUUACUUAAUAAAAAUUUAAUGACUAUUGUUGAUUAUACCUAUUUUGCAAGUGCUUAAGUUUGUUGUAGUUGGUUCAUUUAAAUAAACCAAUUUUCAAGGCUUUUAGAAUUCAUAUAAUGGAAAUUUCAGUUUAGCUUUCUCAGGUAUUGCAUUUCCUACACAUCUGUUAUUUCUUUCUGAAAAAAUACAGUAUUUUUUAGUAUUUCUCAAAACAAGCAUAAUGUGGAUCAUGCACAACACAGCUCAUUACAGGCAGUAUUUCAUUGUAUAGAAAUAUGUGAUGAUUUCAGCAUUCCAUCCUUGUUCUUUCAUUCACAAAAAUAUAUUGAAUAUGUGCCUCUUCUACAUUCUGGGAAUAUAGCAAAGAACAAAACAAAGUAAAAACUGGUAUUAUUUCCAAAUAUAUGUUUUGAAUUUGGUUUGGUUAACUAAAAUUAUUGUAUUUUUGUCUUAAAUUUUAAUCAUUUUUAUAUACCUUUAGACACUAUUUUAAAAACUGUG